rnacentral:lncRNA from 1 species
GGGGCUGCCGAAUGUGUCAGGGAGCCAUAGCUGGGGUUUGUUCAAGCUUCCAAGCUCAUAGUAAGUGCAUUUUAGCCCCGUUUUUAAUGUUCUUCGCAUUUUUGAAAUCAUCGUAGCUCGGUUUAGCUUAUUCUACCAUUAAUUCACGGUAGGGUGCAUAUUUGGAAAAAUACCCAGAGGUGAAAUGUGUUUAUUUUGCUGUUUUAUGGUAGAAUAUGAAGCUAGAAUUUAUGAUAAACAACUUUUACUAAGUGAUUUUAAGUAAAACCGGGUAAAUUGACAUAAUCGGUAAAAAUAUUUAUUGUUCAUAAGUGUAUGUUAGAGUGAGAAUUUGAUGUUCCCAUAGAAGGGAAAAGUGUUCAGCAUGUUGUAAAACAUAAGAAUAAGGUGUGAAAUUAAAUUUUCGAGCCUAGGGAUGUAAAUGGAAAUAUACAAAAUUUAGGGGCAAAAUUGUAAUUUUGCCAAAGUUUGAGUCAAGGACUGUUUUGAUAAAUGUGAGUACUAAAUAAGUCAAUUGUGUUAUUAUAGAUCAAGAAAGAAGUGGAAUUGACCUUGAUCGGAGAAAAGAAAAGAUUAAAGACUAAAUUGCUAAAAUUUUAUAUUGUUGCAUCAAAGUAAGUUAUGUAUAAAUAAUAGUUAUAUUUUUAUAAAUUGUGAAUUAUGUUUGACAUGUGAAUUAAAUUUGAAUUGAGAUGAUGUAUUAUUUUAUAUAUAAAUUUGUUAUCUAAUCAUGCCUUUAUGCAAGUACGAGAUUAGAUUGAAGGAUCAAUCGUGAGAAAUGCAGGGUCAAGUACAUUCGUACUACAACUCGUAAUGAAUUGACAGAAAAGACCAUGGUUGGACCAUGGCAGUGAGUAUGCCAGUGUAAGACCAUGUCUGGGACAUGGCAUCGGCACGGACAGAGGAGAGUCAGUGUAAGACCAUGUUUGGGACAUGGCAUCGGCUCGAGAUGAGAGUCAGUGUAAGACCAUGUCU